AGGAGAGAUUGACGCAGUGUAAUCAGAUUACAAUCAGACAGCCGACAGUCUGGAGGAUGCCACAGAGAGGGGCGCGUACACAGGGGGUCUUCACUGGAGGAGACAGGGGGAUACAGAGUGUGGGUGUGAGGAGGGUGUGUGGGUGCGGUGGGGGUAUGUGGGUGAGGAUAGAUGAAGUUGGGACUGUUAUGUUCGACUCUUCUAACCGGGAUUUAACAUGAUUUGUUGUGUUUUUUUUUUUUUUUUUUUCCAGAGUGCAAUUCUGGUGUGCUAGGAUUGGUUGCGGCUGUAAGUGCACUCGCCACGCUAGCUGUCACUAGUAUGCGUUGCACCAUUGCGGGUGGCUAUGCUGCCUGCCUGCCUGCUGUGGCCAUGGUUAUGUGGGACAAGUGGUCGUGGCGCAGGCAGCUGGAGCGUUAGCAGCGUUAGGGUGGGGUGGAGCAUUACCAGUCCUCUGAGGUGCUGGUCAGCGGUGGCAGGUUUAAAAAUAGGGCUGGGUGACUACUGUGAUAGAGAGGACAGGGACACACAACACCAAGGACCAUGUGGAACAGAAGUGAGGCAUUCGUGUGUUGCAGAUAACCCAACAAAGAGAGAUACUGGAGAGAGAGAGAGCAAAGCAGAGUGAGAAGAUGAUGGCUGGCCUCUUUUCCUACCCAACCCAAUUUCUUACCCAGCCCUCCUGCGAGUAACCAAUCCUGCAACAAUCAAUCCACAAGAUGAGUACACGAGGACCCUAGGACCCGAGGACCGUGCCCCAGGACUACCUGGCCUGAUGACUCCUUGCUGUCCUCCUUGCUGUCCCCUCCUUGCUGUCUCCAUUAUGAAUGGAAUGCUAUGUAAAGGAUAGAAUGAAUAGGAGUCUCUUAAACCUGAGGAGAACUAUAAUAAGGCAUACUAGCCUCCCAAGGA